ensembl:lncRNA
GAGGAGAGGAGGAUGGCAGCACAAAGGAAGAACCUGGAUAUAAGAAAGUAUUUUUCAAAGGAACCUAUGACAAACAGAGGAAAGGCUGAGAUGGUUUAGACACCAGCAGGAGGAGGGACAGAGGAUACAGUGUGCAAGGAUCUACAAAAGCACUGAAAAGAGGAAGAAGAGAAAGAGGAAAACAAAGUGAACUACUGGUCAAAAAUCACAUUUUGAGGCUGGCAAGUUUGGUGUAGAAAGUGUCGUGCAUCAUCUGAAUCCUCCUUCAAAUGUUGAAACUCUGAGUAAACCUACAAUGAAAAAAC